AUAAUUUUAGUACUGAAACUCAAAUAAGUACUAUUAUAAUUGUUUUCCAGUAUCCAUAGGUGUGCUGACUGCUACUCAACCUAAAUGAAAGGACCAAGACUCCCAGUUUACAAAGCUCACAAAAUUCCUUCUUCUGCAAAGGUCACUGAAAGUCAGUGGGAAUCAUUUUCAUAGAGCUGAUGGUUUUAAGAAAACAGCUGUCGUUUCCCAAGGCCUCGUUCUUCAGUGGUUAUACUCAGCUCAGAAGCAGAAUCUGAUGUCCUUACUUCUUCAUGUUUACCCAUAAAUACAUUCACUUUGCCCAGGAGGCAAAUCAUA